rnacentral:rRNA from 1 species
AGCAGCCGCGGUAAUUCCAGCUCCAAUAGCGUAUAUUAAAGUUGUUGCAGUUAAAAAGCUCGUAGUUGAAUUUCGGGAUUGGCGCAUCGGUCGUGCCUUACGGGGUAUGAACUGGUGCAGUCAAUUUCUCACCUUCUGGAGAACCGCGAUGUCCUUAAUUGGGUGCCGCGGGGAACCAGGACCUUUACUUUGAAGAAAUUAGAGUGUUUAAAGCAGGCAUUUUUGCUUGAAUACAUUAGCAUGGAAUAAUAAAAUAGGACGGCAUGGUUCUAUUUUGUUGGUUUCUAGGACCACCGUAAUGAUUAAUAGGGAUAGUUGGGGGCAUUAGUAUUCAAUUGUCAGAGGUGAAAUUCUUGGAUUUAUUGAAGACUAACUACUGCGAAAGCAUUUGCCAAGGAUGUUUUCAUUAAUCAAGAACGAAAGUUAGGGGAUCGAAGACGAUCAGAUACC